rnacentral:lncRNA from 1 species
GCGCUCCUCCGUGUAUAGUUAGUUAUUGGUGAGGAGUAGAGCGAGUAUUCGACUUUCGACUUUCCAAAAAGUUAUCAACCAUGCGCGCAAAGGAAAGUGUAUCUUGAUCUCCUUUUCAUCUUCAACCGCCAUAUGUACACACACAGUACGCACACACCACACCGCGAUGUACACUAGUAUGUUCCAUUAAUGCCUGGACCUGUCAUAAUGCAACUUGAACGGUCGGUAACAAUUGAUAUAGGUCCAGGCAUUAACUGUUUUAACUGCGAUAACAGAUCGCUAUUUGAGACAAGUUAUCUCAAUAAAGUGAAAAAAUUGUAAUUCGUGAUAUCACGAAUACAGUAUAUACCGCGUCGAAACUACGAUGGGGUUUCAUAAAUUCUUUCCAUGUCGUGGGUUUGACACUCCUCUUCUUCUUCCCAACUGCGACUGGCGUGUGCAUACAACUUGUGACAAGAUGCUCGGACCUCGUAACUCCUGUGCUUUGUUGAAAGAAACGCAUUAGCGAGUUCCAGUGCGAAAGUCAAUCAUUAUACCGAUCUUGCUGAUUUGAAAUGGACCGGCAGCCUACGCUAUGGCGAUACAGUUGUAUUGCCGCCCAUGGAGAAUGUCCCCGGUGGAUUCUUGUCGGCAACUGGAGACUGCAAAAUUUUGGAAAAUCCUUAUCCGACAAAGAAUAAGGGCAGCUGAGAAAGACCGCGGCGAUAAGGAAACAACGAUGAUGUACCCAUCCCUAUACUAUGCAACAAUUCCCACGAAAAUAGCCAAGCGUCACCAAAUAUAACAUUUUUUUAUUAUUCACCUAAAAACUACGAUUACGAAUCUCUUUCCAACGCUCAAUUAUUUCCAAUCGUAAGCAAAAGAUGGACAUCGACGUACAUAUUGUAAUUCUCCUCUAAUAAAAUUCAAACAGACCGAUUCCAAAA